AUAGCUUCUCGGCCUUUUGGCUAAGAUCAAAGUGUAGUAUCUGUUCUUUUGAGAUAAGUCACGUUGAUCACGUGCCUCUUAAGUCUUUUGUUACAUGCGGUCCUUUUUCUCUUAGGUGGACGAACUAAUAAACAAAUAAACGAGCAGGUGCCUGCUCAGUUUGCAUUCCCU
rnacentral:snRNA from 1 species